rnacentral:rRNA from 1 species
AGGUAGCGAAAUUCCUUGUCGGGUAAGUUCCGACCUGCACGAAUGGCGUAACGAUCUCCACACUGUCUCGGCCAGAGACUCGGUGAAAUUGCAGUCGCGGUGAAAAUUCCGUGUACCCGCAGAAAGACGGAAAGACCCUGUGCACCUUUACUAUAGCUUGACAUUGGAUUUUGGGCCUGCAUGUGUAGGAUAGGUGGGAGGCUGUGAACCCUGUACGCCAGUAUGGGGGGAGCCAUCCUUGAAAUACCACCCUUGCAUGUUUAAGAUCCUAACUUCUUCCGGUUAUCCCGGAGAAAGACAGUGUCUGGCGGGUAGUUUGACUGGGGCGGUCGCCUCCUAAAGUGUAACGGAGGCAUGCAAAGGUUCCCUCAGCCUGAUCGGAAACCAGGCGCUGAGUGCAAACGCAUAAGGGAGCUUGACUGUAAGAGAGACAUCUCGAACAGGAACGAAAGUUGGCGUUAGUGAUCCGGUGGUCCCGAAUGGAAGGGCCAUCGCUCAUUGGAUAAAAGGUACGCCGGGGAUAACAGGCUGAUCGCAUCCAAGAGUUCACAUCGACGAUGCGGUUUGGCACCUCGAUGUCGGCUCAUCACAUCCUGGGGCUGAAGCAGGUCCCAAGGGUACGGCUGUUCGCCGUUUAAAGUGGUACGCGAGCUGGGUUUAAAACGUCGUGAGACAGUUUGGUCCCUAUCUUCUGUGGGCGAAGGAGAAUUGAGAGGGCCUGUCCCUAGUACGAGAGGACCGGGAUGGACGCACCCCUGGUGAUCCUGUUGUCGCGCCAGCGGCACAGCAGGGUAGCUAUGUGCGGAAGGGAUAACCGCUGAAAGCAUCUAAGCGGGAAGCCUGCCUCAAGAUAAGUUCUCCCCUCGAAAGAGCUGAAGGGCCCGGGUAGACUACCCGGUCGAUAGGCUGGAGGUGUAAGCGCGGCGACGUGCUCAGCUGACCAGUACUAAUAGCCCGAGCGGCUUAUUUGU